AUGAACGCUGGCGGCGUGCCUAAUACCUGCAAGUCGAGCGAACAGACGAGGAGCUUGCUCCUCUGACGUUAGCGGCGGACGGGUGAGUAACACGUGGAUAACCUACCUAUAAGACUGGGAUAACUUCGGGAAACCGGAGCUAAUACCGGAUAAUAUAUUGAACCGCAUGGUUCAAUAGUGAAAGACGGUUUUGCUGUCACUUAUAGAUGGAUCCGCGCCGCAUUAGCUAGUUGGUAAGGUAACGGCUUACCAAGGCAACGAUGCGUAGCCGACCUGAGAGGGUGAUCGGCCACACAGGAACUGAGACACGGUCCAGACUCCUACGGGAGGCAGCAGUAGGGAAUCUUCCGCAAUGGGCGAAAGCCUGACGGAGCAACGCCGCGUGAGUGAUGAAGGUCUUCGGAUCGUAAAACUCUGUUAUUAGGGAAGAACAAAUGUGUAAGUAACUAUGCACGUCUUGACGGUACCUAAUCAGAAAGCCACGGCUAACUACGUG
rnacentral:rRNA from 1 species